CCGGUUGUGGGCCCCGCCCGCCGAGUCACUUGAGACGAUUGCACCUCUCCCCGUGUUUGCGUCCGCUGCCUCUAGGCCACUGACAACCGCUGGCGGUUGGCGGGCCCUCAGCGAAUAGCUGAACGGAGUAGAGGAGAAUGUUUUCUAAUAAAGCAAAGGUGCUCGGCCCAGCAGCCACGGCCCUGACAGUCGCCCACCAGCCGGCCUCCAGCCCCAAGGGUCCUCGUGUGGUGCAGGAAGCGUUCGCUCAUCUGCUG
rnacentral:lncRNA from 1 species